CCUACGGGGGGCUGCAGUAAGGAAUAUUGGUCAAUGGAGGAAACUCUGAACCAGCCAUCCCGCGUGAAGGAUGAAGGGGCUCUGCCUUGUAAACUUCUUUUGUCUGGGGCGAAAAAGCUCGAUUUAUCGAGAACUGACGGUACCAGAAGAAUAAGCACCGGCUAACUCCGUGCCAGCAGACGCGGUACUACGGAGGGUGCAGGCGUUAUCCGGUUUCACGGGUGUUAAAGCGUCCUUAGGCGGCAGUGGUGAAAGGCUGUGGCUUAACCAUGGAAUUGCCAUUGAUACUGCAGAGCUUGAAUGAGGUUGAGGUUGGCGGAAUGUGACAUGUAGCGGUGAAAUGCUUAGAUAUGUCAUGGAACACCGAUUGCGAAGGCAGCUGACUGGACCUAUAUUGACGCUGAGGCACGAAAGCGUGGGGAGCGAACAGGAUUAGAUACCCGGGUAGUC
rnacentral:rRNA from 1 species